rnacentral:rRNA from 1 species
UACAGAGGUCCCAAGCGUUGUUCGGAUUCACUGGGCGUAAAGGGUGCGUAGGUGGUGGACUAAGUCGGGUGUGUAAUCUCCGGGCUCAACCCGGAGGGUGCGCCCGAAGCUGGUCUGCUCGAGGGUGGGAGGGGAGACUGGAAUUCUCGGUGUAGCAGUGAAAUGCGUAGAUAUCGAGAGGAUCACCCGUGGCGAAGGCGAGUCUCUGGACCACUCCUGACACUGAGGCACGAAAGCCGGGGGAGCAAACAGG